UAAGCCCCAGGCAAUACUUAACAGCCUGGCACGGGUUGGAGUGCCCCGGAGAAGGAGAGGUUACUGUCGAUGUUGCUGACCCACACUGGCACCGUGUGCUUGCCUGACCCCCUUCUCCAGCCUGGGGCGUUUAUGCCACAGCCUGGAAUGGCCUGUAAGGGUGACUUUGCUGGCUCCACAACUGGCCUGACUCUGCUGUAUAUCCCAGGCACUGCUCCAGGAACCAUGUGCCUCGGCCAAACAGUGUCAUGGAGUCCUGAGGGUAAGGCCACAGUCUGCCUCCUGCCGCUGAGUCUUUUGGAUCUGAUCCAAGCUGCACUGCAGUCAAGGAGCUCUCUUUGUUCACCUUCCCUCUUCUGCGUCCGAGCCUGUUUAGCAUGUGAUUUCUGGGAUGAGGUUUUGCAGCAGAACAGCAAAGAAGCACCUUGAAAGACAGACAGAUAGAGGAAAUCAGUCCAAAAACGCUGUUAAUCAUUGUUAAUGCUUUUCAACAGAACCUUUCCAACAGUGACCAAACCCAAAUACUGCCACUCAGGACAGCCUUCAUCCAUUGCCUAGAGGUGAUACCUCCUGUGUUCUCUUUUCAGAUCCAGCUUGGAUCCCUUGGGGGUGAGGACAAUGGCCACAAUGCUUCACCCUCCACAACAGUAACACUAAAAUCCAAGCACUGGCAUUUUUCUCCCCUGCACAAACUUUGUAGUUUUAACUACUUUGGGUCUUUUAAGUGAGGUAUUAGCUGUACACUACUUAUAGUUUUGUGCCUAUGAGUUGAAAAGCAUCCACGGUUCCUAAUUCCCUUUAACCCACAAAUGUGUAGUUGCUGAGUGCUGCUU